rnacentral:pre_miRNA from 1 species
GUAUUACUCCCUCCGUCCCAAAAUUCUUGUCUUAGAUUUGUCCAGAUACGGAUGUAUCUAAUACUAAAAUGUGACUUGAUACAUCCGUAUUUAGACAAAUCUAAGACAAGAAUUUUGGGAUGGAGGGAGUACCAU